GUGCUCGCUUUGCCAGCACAUAUACUAAAAUUGAAACAACACAGAGAAGAUUAACAUGGCCCCUGCACAAGAAUGACAUACAAAUUCAUGAAGUGUUCCAUAUUUUA
rnacentral:snRNA from 1 species